rnacentral:rRNA from 1 species
GACGAACGCUGGCGGCGUGCCUAACACAUGCAAGUCGAACGGGACUUGAGGUGCUUGCACCUUAAGUUUAGUGGCGAACGGGUGAGUAACGCGUGAGGAACCUGCCUUUUACAGGGGGAUAACACAGGGAAACCUGUGCUAAUACCGCAUAAAACUGCACUGUGGCAUCACAGAGUAGCCAAAGGAGCAAUCCGGUAAAAGAGGAGCCCGCGUCUGAUUAGCUAGUUGGUGAGGUAACGGCCCACCAAGGCGACGAUCAGUAGCCGAACUGAGAGGUUGAUCGGCCACAUUGGGACUGAGACACGGCCCAG